rnacentral:rRNA from 1 species
AUGAGCAAAAGGGCACGCACAUGUUUAACUUGGAGACAGAGCAAUGGUCGAAACUGGAUGACAAGGAUCUACCAUUCACCGGAGGCGCCGUCCCUCAUGGCCCCCUCUUCCUUGGCUUUUCAACUGCCGCCAAAAAGAUUGUCGCUUACAACAUCACAGUGUGCGCCCCCGCCUCACCAAGCCCAAGCAUCACAACAGGGUCCCCAUCCUUGUCAAUUACUGAGUUCCCGAUGGUGA